rnacentral:rRNA from 1 species
UACGUAGGUGACCAGCGUUGUCCGGAUUUACUGGGCGUAAAGAGCGCGCAGGCGGUCGUUCAAGUCGAGUGUGAAAGCCCCCGGCUCAACUGGGGAGGGUCACUCGAUACUGAUCGACUUGAAGGCAGGAGAGGGAAGCGGAAUUCCCGGUGUAGUGGUGAAAUGCGUAGAUAUCGGGAGGAACACCAGUGGCGAAGGCGGCUUGCUGGGCCAGUUCUGACGCUGAGGAGCGAAAGCGUGGGGAGCGAACAGG